rnacentral:lncRNA from 1 species
AUGUUUCAAGUACUAAGAUUCCACACUAUUCCCAUUAUACUGCUCUGUGGCCAGUACAGUACUAAAAUAGUGGUUUCCACUGUUGACGUGAAUCCCUCGUAAAAAAGCCUACACUAUAGACUGCAAGGACCCUGAACGUGAAGCCUUCUCAGGUCGAUGGGACUCCACACUGACCCCUACAUCCUUGCACCUGCAAAGCCUAUAUCUAGCAUUUCUCGAGAUGAUUGAACACGAUGGGGUACUGAGCACAUGGGGACGCAGUGCAUCUCCAUCUCAGCACUCCUUAUAUUGGACCCCCC